rnacentral:snRNA from 1 species
UAUUCUUCUUGGCUUUUUGGCUAAGAGUGCCAUGUCUGUUCUUGUCUGUUUAAUAUCUGGUAGAUCUUUGCUAUGAGGACUUCUUAUUAAAUAUCUCUGUGGAGCUGGGCUACUGCUUGUGGGCUUGCUCCAUCUUCCUUCUGCACCACAACCGCUCAGUGACCCAUU